GGGGGUGUAGCUCAGUGGUAGAGCGCCCGCUUCGCAUGCGGGAAGUCCUGGGUUCAAACCCCAGCUCCUCCA
rnacentral:tRNA from 1 species